rnacentral:rRNA from 1 species
UACGAAGGGGGCUAGCGUUGUUCGGAAUUACUGGGCGUAAAGCGCACGUAGGCGGCUUUGUAAGUUAGAGGUGAAAGCCCGGGGCUCAACUCCGGGCCUGCAGCCGAUACGGGCAGACUAGAGUUCGGCAGGGGAGACUGGAAUUCCUGGUGUAGAGGUGAAAUUCGUAGAUAUCGGGAGGAACACCGGUGGCGAAGGCGGCGAUCUGGGUCGAUACUGACGCUGAGGUGCGAAAGCGUGGGGAGCAAACAGGG